rnacentral:tRNA from 1 species
UUUUAAGUGGUGUAAAAAACACUUAACAUUUUCGUUGUUAUAUUCUUUAAAUAGCUUAAAUA